UGGCCCGGUGGUCAUCGCGGGGAUGAUACACCCGAUCCCAUCCCGAACUCGGCCGUGAAACACCCCAGCGCCCAUGGUACUGCAGCUCAAGCUGCGGGAGAGUCGGUCGCCGCCGGGCCACC
rnacentral:rRNA from 1 species